AUUCUAAGCCAUUACUUUAUGCUAGCAGUUUUCUCUGCCUGCAAAAGGAAAAUAACUUCAAAAUCAUGUUAUUUAUAAUAUUUAUAGUGCUAAUUAUAAAUCAACCUAUAAUCUUUACCUAGAAAAGAUCAGGUGCACUGCUUUAGGCUUAACAGUGGUAAAAUAUAGUUUCUGGAGGAUAAAUGCUGUGGAAUUCAAAUUCUGAAGUUAUAGAACAAUAACUUUUGUUUUAUAGAACAAUAUUCCAUGAGAACACUGAAAGCAUUUGAGAUUUGGGUCAUUUUAAGUGUACCCGGGUAAAGACUAUAAAAUAAGCUGUACAGAUCAAUUCUGUGGAUAGAGAUGUCAGCCAGGUGAGCUAACAGAGCUUGCUCACCUAAUUUUGAUGUUGAAAUAAUGUUUGAGAGCCGUAUUAACGUUUUUGUUGGGUCACAACACAGUUUUUAAAGAAAAUCUUGGUGUGUGUCAAUCUAUGAAAGGUAAUUGAUGUCAGAAUGUAGGUUUUGGAGACAGCCUUGGGUUUAAAUGUAGGGUGACCUUUCUUCCUUGUUUGCCAUGACAGAAUUGAUUUAAGCUUGUUGUCCCAUUCUCUCUCAAAGUGACCCAAUUUAUAUCAUAAAUUACGUGGUUAUCCAAUUUAAAUGUCAACUCUGUUACUUACUGUGAGAACUUGGGUGAAUUAUUUAAUUUUUCCAACCUCAGUUCUUUACUUUUAAAAUGGGAAUAAUGAUUCCUAAUUCUUGACAUGUUGAGAAGUUUAAAAUUAAACAUUUUGGGGAAGAAUCUACUCCUGCCUGGCUGGCUGGUUCACAGCAAAUCCUGCUGCUUGCAUCCUCCUCAAUAAGACAAUUAAAGCCUUUGGAAAAGAAACUACAUUCUGCUUUUUCCCUUCAUCUAUCUUUAUUCAAAAAUUCCUCUUUGUUGUCCUAAAACUCCAACCAAAACUAUUGAAAUUUUCAGUCUCUUCCGACUCUCCUUUGGGUUUCUUAUUUCUUAGUUUAAAAUGUAUUCCCCUUGAUUUCUCUCUUAACAUCUCUUUAUUCCACAAGGCUGACCUUUUUUGAAUGCUUUUAGGAAAAAGUAUUCUGUCCUAUAAUAUACACCUCUAAACUUUACUUAUGGCUCUUAUUCUCUAAAAUGGUAUGAUUAUGUAUUUGAUUAACCGAUAAAAUAUUCAUAUUUUUCAGAUCCCCCAAUUUUUAAAUUAG
rnacentral:lncRNA from 1 species